GACGAACGCUGGCGGCGUGCUUAACACAUGCAAGUCGAACGGAAAGGCGCUGCUUUUGUGGUGUGCUCGAGUGGCGAACGGGGGAGUAACACGUGAGUAACCUGCCCUUGACUUUGGGAUAACUUCAGGAAACUGCGGCUAAUACCGGAUAGGAGCUCCUGCUGCAUGGUGGGGGUUGGAAAGUUUCGGCGGUUGGGGAUGGACUCGCGGCUUAUCAGCUUGUUGGUGGGGUAGUGGCGUACCAAGGCUUUGACGGGUAGCCGGCCUGAGAGGGUGACCGGCGACAUUGGGACUGAGAUACGGCCCAGAAUCCUACGGGAGGCAGCAGUGGGGAAUAUUGCGCAAUGGCGGGAAGCCUGAUGCAGCAACGCCGCGUGCGGGAUGACGGCCUUCGGGUUGUAAACCGCUUUCGACUGUGACGAAGCGUGAGUGACGGUAAUGGGUAAAGAAGCACCGGCUAACUACGUG
rnacentral:rRNA from 1 species